rnacentral:snRNA from 1 species
GGAUGUGAGGGCGAUCUGGCUGCGACAUCUGUCACCCCAUUGAUCGCCAGGGUUGAUUCGGCCGAUCUGGCUGGUUAGGCGGGUGUCCCCUUCCUCCCUCACCGCUCCAUGUGCGUCCCUCCCGAAGCUGCGCGCUCGGUGGAAGAGGACGACGUCCCAGGUAUAGAAGGAGUGUACCGAGGUCUCCAGUCUUCGGUCCCGGGUAUACGAUAGCUGCGCUCCCCUGCUAGAACCUCCAAACAAAACAGACUGACAUCAAAUAGAUAAUGAGCAGAUCAAUAUAUUUAUUUAUAACAAUAAACAAUCAGAGUCCAUUGAAAAAUAAUUCUGUUAAUUUCU